rnacentral:rRNA from 1 species
GACGAACGCUGGCGGCGUGCUUAACACAUGCAAGUCGAACGGUAAGGCCCUUCGGGGUAUACGAGUGGCGAACGGGUGAGUAACACGUGGGUGAUCUGCCCUGCACUUCGGGAUAAGCCUGGGAAACUGGGCCUAAUACCGGAUAGGACUCCUGGCUUCAUGGUUGGGGGUGGAAAGCUUUUGCGGUGUGGGAUGGGCCCGCGGCCUAUCAGCUUGUUGGUGGGGUAAUGGCCUACCAAGGCGACGACGGGUAGCCGGCCUGAGAGGGUGACCGGUCACACUGGGACUGAGAUACGGCCCAGACUCCUACGGGAGGCAGCAGUGGGGAAUAUUGCACAAUGGGCGCAAGCCUGAUGCAGCGGCGCCGCGUGAGGGAUGACGGCCUUCGGGUUGUAAACCUCUUUCAGCUAUGACGAAGCGCAAGUGACGGUAGUAGCAGAAGAAGGACCGGCCAACUACGUGCCAGCCGCCGCCGUAA